rnacentral:rRNA from 1 species
AGUGCAUGAAGCUGGAAUCGCUAGUAAUCGCAAAUCAGAAUGUUGCGGUGAAUACGUUCCCGGGUCUUGUACACACCGCCCGUCACACCAUGGGAGUUGGAAAUGCCCGAAGUCAGUGACCCAACCUAAGGGAGGGAGCUGCCGAAGGCAGGUUCGAUGACUGGGGUGAAGUCGUAACAAGGUACC